rnacentral:lncRNA from 1 species
GAGAUAAUUUGGGGUCUCUAUAGAAUAAAACGUAAUUUAACACAGAACUGAAAAACUGCUGAGAUAAAUUAUUUUAAACAUUUUUUCUAAUGGAUUAACAAUAGUGUGCACGGAAAUGCAUUGGCUGCUUUCCUAUCCAUGACAGAUUUUAUAUGCUGAAAGACUUUAAGAGAAUGAUUUUACAAAAAGUUUCACAUAAACUUCACUUUUUUCAAGAUCCAGGACAACAGGGUCAUGGUCAGAUAACUCCUGCCAGACAAACAUGUUCAGUUUGCAAUUUUUAAAAUAAAUCAUCAAUGUAUUGAUCUCUUGCUUAUAGCAUAUAAAAAGAACAGCCUGUUACAGGCGAAGCAUUGACAUACAUGUAUAAAAAUUGACAAAUGAAAAUGAGGUCAAGGUCAUAUGAAACUUGCCGGAUAUACUUUCUUUCUAAAAUUGUUAAACAUCUCGCCCCUUAUUUUAUUGAUUUUGUAUUUGAGACAAUAUCUGAAAAAGUCUAAUUUCCAUGUCCCGUCUUUCACCAGCAAUUAUUUUUUUAUUCGGGUAUCUCUUUGGAAAAUUUUUAGUUUCAGUAUUAACUAGAGUAUAUAAUGCACCAAC